ACUCCCUCUUCUUUGUCUUCAUCACAACCUAAACUUUUUUUCCCCUGGCCAAGGAGAGCACGCGAAGGCGCAGGACGCGAUGGAGCAGCCCCCACCUUCUCACACAAGCUGGGCUUUGCUUUAGAGCAGAGACAGCGUCCUCCUCUCCUUCCUCCUCCCCAACCAGCGACCCCGGAGCGCGGGCUGUCAGCAAAGCCACGUUUGCUGCAGGGCACCGGGAGCUGAAAGACAACGGGCACGGCCUCGGGGAACCCCAGUGCCAGGAGAGACCCGGCUGCGAGGGCACUUGCUGCUUCCCCGGCUGCUGAGCAACCUCCAACUACUCUUUUUAUCCAGAAUCCAGAUCAAAAAUAUUCCGGCAACGUUUAAAUUUGCAAUCUACAUGUUCCCUUUCUCCUCCCCGAGGGGAGCGAUCCACCGGCUUCUGGAGUCAUCCUGGAGUAUUGGAACAAAUGUAGGAGGAAUGUGUUAACGUAUUUCAGGAGGAACGUGGGGUUCAAGUUCUAGUUUUGGAAUUGUGGAGCGACCACGAGGGCAGGUCCCAGCCCGCUCCGCGGUGUGAGGCAGGACGCAGGCAGCUUGUUUCAUCUUUUCCAGCUCGUUGAUUUGGGAAAAGAAGUUCUUACCCGAGGACACACACGAGGGGUAAAACCCAGCGGGUCACCGAGGCGAGAAGGGCUGGAGAGGCGCUUGUGUCCCGUUUCCUCCUGCAGAACACGCGUGGCCCUGUCUGAUGGCACCUGUGAGGACGUUUAAUCUGGUUGUGGCUUUUAAUUUCAAUCCAUGAAACUCCACAGACUUUGUCUUCUCCUUCCUUUCCUGUUCUCCCAUCAACCUGUUUUUUUUUUUUGGGGGGGGGGGGGAAGAACCUGUGCCCACAUCUUGAGCAGCCUCACCGACACGUGAGCGGUGCGAAACGAGCUGCUUCUCAGAUCUACUCGGAAUAAGAGGCAGACACGACACUUUGUCCAUUUAUUUAUUGUCAUUCAAAUACUAAAAAUCCCUCACAAUACAAUAUACAGUUAUUGAUCUCAGAUUCUUCCCCCAUUGAGACUAUCAGGUUUUAGUGGGAUUUUUUUUUUUUUUUUAAGUUUUUGUUUUAUUAUCAAAGAUUUAGAGUCACAAUAAAUAAGAGUGACAAAAAACAUACCCUGCGCUGGCGUAACGUUACUCUGUUACACUCCUCUGUUAGAUGAUUAUAAAUUCUUUUUUUCUUCUUCUUCUUCUAUUAAAAAAAAAAAAAGCACAAUGCAAGUUAUUUCGCUAAAUGCAACGUACGGCGUAACUCUGCCUUAAGCAGACAAACACUACUGUGGUUCCUUGAGGUCUUUUUGUGUUGUUAUAUAUAUUUAUAUAUUUA